UACGGAGGUUGCAAGCGUUGUUCGGAAUAACUGGGCGUAAAGGGAGCGCAGGCGGUUUGGUUAGUCUGAAGUGAAAUCCCAGGGCUCAACUCUGGACGGGCUUCGGAUACUGCCAAACUUGAGUACGUGAGAGGAGAGUGGAAUUCCAGGUGUAGCGGUGAAAUGCGUAGAUAUCUGGAGGAACACCGGUGGCGAAAGCGGCUCUCUGGCACGUUACUGACGCUCAGGCUCGAAAGCGUGGGGAGCAAACGGG
rnacentral:rRNA from 1 species